AGGGGUUGUCAUCUUUCGUCAUCCUAUGGUAACUCUUUAAGCACUAUAUCGAAUUAAGCGAAUGUUGAACUGAUUAUGAAAGCCCUUCUCCGAGUGAUUAGCCUGGUCGUGAUUAGCGUGGUGGUGAUUAUUCUACCAUCGUGCGGGGCUGCACUCGGAGAAAGAAAGGCUUAGAAAUCAAGCCUUAAUCGAAAGAGAACCCCCGCACCGACAGGUCCGGGGGUUUUUUUUUGGUGUUCAGGCCUUGUAGCAUUUUAAUGUGGAGUGGAACAUGAAUGGCAGCAUAACGUUCUGUCUCUCCCGGCAAAA
rfam:Tatumella ptyseos ATCC 33301 GTPT.assembly.012, whole genome shotgun sequence.